GAAAGGACACAUUAAUGAGAGAGACAACAAAACAAGAGACCAGGUUGGGUGAGUGGAACUUCGCUAUUACUAUUGAUUUCACGUGGAAGGAGUUCAGAUACUACCGUGAUGGGCAGCAGUAUACAAGCCUAGGACGAAGCACCACAUGAAGUAAUACUAGUUGCAUUUCCCCGUCUUUAGAAUGAAAGGAUGAAAUGCCCACCCACUGGAACUCCAUUCAAUCUAUGGACUCCAGGGAAGCUGCACAGGGUGCAAGUAAACAUGAACUCUGGCCCAGCUCUGUGAAGAACAGAAUGAAGAACUAGCGCUGGGCAGCAGUACUGGACAUU